CUUACGCACACACACUCACUCGCGCACUCACAGUAAGGUGAAUUGAACGAAUACUUUUUUCGUUUUGAAGUAUGAAUCUAAAUCAGUCAAAUCAGACUCAUCCCUUUAAUUAAAAUGAGGGAGGUCAUUUAAGAUCAAACACAGAGCUGAAAUAGCCUCUCACUGUUACCAAUGCAACCAGUGGGCGCCGAACCUGCGUUGUAAUUAGCUCGUUAAUUGGUUGCAUCGGGUGCGUUUCACUUAAGAGUGAACCAGACAGUACGUUCGUAUCCUCCACAGUUUGGCAGUGUAGCGUCUCCCAAAAGCGGUUAAAGACUUUUUGAAGUAAAGAGGAGCAUCUCAUGUGAACCUGAUGUCUAUCAUGGAUAUUCAACUGCAGUUCUGUGAGUAUCCCAACUUAACCAUGAAGAUGAACUGCAAACUGUAAGUCAUAAGUUUCUCAUUACUCUUGGGCACAUUGGUGUGUUUUUCCUUCCUGGUGAGUUAACCCGUUACCUGAAGGUUGAUCUGAGUAGGAAGGAUGUUUUAUUGAUUCAUGGGUUACUUAGGUGUUUGGUUUAUGUUUUUAAUGAUUUGUUAAAAUAGUUACAGGUUCCAAGUUAUUGUUGUAAGCUGGAGUAAUGGGUUGAGUUCUGAUAUCUUCAGUCUUCUUUCCAGCUAUUCUCCUGAGCUCUGCAUCUUCAUCACAGGAGUGUUGGUUUACUUAUAAGGGUGUGGUCUGAGUGAGCAGAGGUGCAUACUGGGAUACAGAGCUGUCUCAAGUCUACUGGUCUGUAGACACGCCCCCUCAGGGGAAACCGAGUGUUUGAGAAACUGUCGUGACGUCAGUUACAUGGACUGGAAUGUUCUUUAAGAUGGUGACAGGGAUUCAGAAGGAGAAACACCAGGGGGAGAUGAGGGGGCUCCUCAUCUCAACAACUAAAACGCAACUUCAGUCUGACACAGAGAACCAUGGAACACAUUCAACAGUCCCCUCCAGGCAUCGUGACUCCUCAGGAACAGUUUCAUUUCCAAGAAGAUGGAUCCCGCUCCUCAAGAGCCACCCCCCUCCACUGGGUGGUCUUCUGAACAGCUGACUAAAGCUGCAACAUUUGCAUCUGUGAAGGCCCCUCAUUCAGGAAACCACUGGACUACAAAGACAUUACUUCAGAGACGUUGAAUAAACCUUGGACACAUUUUGGAGACAUAAUUUACGUCUCUGGAGACAUUGGUUGUUCUGUUCUGGGUGCCCUGGCAGGAGAGCUGGGGUUGGAUGAUGGAAUGUUAUUUGGCAUGAGGUUUUUACCCUGCAUGAUUGUUUGGUUUUUUUAUGGCUCAGUGGUGUGUGUGUUUGGGUUUGACAUGAGAUGGAUGAUUUUUGAGCAUAGGGUUCUGCUGUGUGUGUCUCCCACACACACCUGGCAUGGGGUUCUACGUGUGUUUGGUUCCACCUGGCAUGGGGUUCUACGUGUGUGUGUCCGGCUUGCUUUGACAGUGAUAAUGUUCAUACGGGGGUCUGUGUGAUUGGCUUGGGAUAUUGGAAUGGUCAAAUAAAUCAUACCUGAUGGACGGGCACACGUUUACUUAAGGGCCUCAGUAGACAUGAAGAGCCCUGAGCGACGCUCCGGAGCGAUAUCCAACACACUGGGCAGGAAGGAGAGUAUCCAAAUCAAGUGUAAAAGGAUGCAAGCGGCGUGUUCAGAUCAGUGACUUCAAACUAGGACUAAACAAAUCAGGAUCAAUGGAGGAUGGACACCUAAAGGCAUUCCACGAGGAGAGUCUGAAGUUUGAAAGGGACCUAAAUGGGUAUUCAAGAUGACCUUCAGACCUGUAAUGAGACGGCUCUUCCUACCUGGCUGGAUUGAUGGAGAGCCCUGUGGAUCUUGUCUUGCUCUCAGUUGCACGUCUUCUCAGGCUGUACUGUAUUUGUUUCGGACAGGACUAGCUGAACGAUUGGUUCCCUUAAUCAGAACCAAUCUGGGAACUCCAACUAGUGCGCUCUUUGAGCUGAAGCUGUGCUCUUCAGCUGAGGAGGUAAGGAAGCCUUCACUGGGGCUUCAAGGUGUAAAGAGGAUAAUGUUUUAAAGUGUUCCAUGGUACUCUGAUGAAGAACGUUGUUGUGUUCCACUGGCUGAGAGGAAGAACCCUCACAUCUUCCUCUUGGCCUUUCUCCUCCGAGAAUCCUGGCGCCAUCUAGAAGGAUAUUCCAGCUCAUGUAACUGAUGUCACGAGAGAUGCUCAAACACUUGGUUUCUCCUGAGGGGCGUGUCUAUAGAACUGUAGACUUCAGACAGCACUGUAUCCCAGCAUGCAUCUCUGCUCACUCAGACCACACCCCCAUGAAUAGGAUGCAACACUCUAGGGAUGGUGAAGUAGAGUUUUAUAAGUAACGAGGGAGCAGACAAAUGAUUAGAACACAAUGGCAUGUCAAGUCUGUAAAUCUUUAAACCAUGAAGAUGGUUGGAUAGUUCGGAAUUGGGCUUCUUUUUAUUAUGGGCAGUCCUUUCACUCGGAUGCCCACAUCUCACUGGACCUGCACAUGUGUUGGCUGGCUGGCAUGAUUUGCUGUUGGUGAUGAGGCGGUCAGGGUGACGUUGCAGGGCUAUGGUCGGCUCUCUGUGAGCUCAAAGUUUAGAUUUGCUCUGUAUGGUUGUACCCUGAAUAAUCUAGAUAAUUGUAAAAUGUAGACACGGUUUUGUAUUGAAUGAUUCCAGGAUUUUAGGUUUAAAGUUGUUGGACAUACAUGGUAGUUUGGUUCUUCGUACGGUUUUGAGUGAUACAACUUGUACACACUGGGUGCAUAAUAAUGUAAAUGUAAUGUGAUGACCAACAGCAACAAACAGAUCUCCUCAAGGUAAGUCUGUUGGCUGUGUUUUAAUGAAGACCAUCGCUGGACUUCAGGAUCUUCCUCCGUUCAGCUCAAGGUGAGGCGCUGGUUCUGUUUUUUCUUUGGUUGGUUCCGGCCGGAAUGUUCGGAUUCCAGUCGGACAGUUUGUGCUUCCCGCCGUGGAAGGUUCUGAGUGCGGUCACUUGAUUUAGUCCCAAUGGUUAGCAUAGAAUGUAGUCUUGACAACCAUAAGAAACCACCUGGCAGUUAGUUGGACGGUAGUCCCCUGAGGGAAUCUGGCGGAACGUUCUGGAUUGCAUUUGCGUAACCUCGAGCCGCUGCCAAAGUUUGAUAUUAAAUACAUACUGACGCGUACGUCGUAAAAUAUGUUGAUCAUUUCCGAUGGUUGCACCGUACUUUUAACCACGUUGACGUGACGGGACUCUCGCUGCGUACAAAACGGUGUUCUAUUUGCGGGCCCAUUUUUUACAUCAUUGAAGGCUGAAAAUCAUUUCAAGGUGGAAGACAAUUUGACAUUUCUUCAACGGAACCCAGCACCUGAAAAUGGUAUAGAUAAUGGGAGUAUAUUUGAUUUAAUAUCGAUACUGCUUAGUGUUCUUUGUUACUUCAGCUUUUGUACGUUCUAAAUAUCUGCUGUCAUUAAUUGCCACUGAAGUUAAACCCUACCCAAUGGAAUGACGUUAAAUAACGACUUUGGUGCAGAGUUACCAACUGGAUAAUAUCAAAGCUAAAAUAAUGGCCGUCCUUCCCACAUGUUACAGUAGAAGAUACUCUAGAACUGUACAUGGUUAAAAAGGUAACAUGUAGUUUGUCCCAAGGUGUCUGCCUCCUCACCCAGAGCCAGACCGCCACCUCCUGUCAGAAGUCCUCCAGAACAGCUGAAAGGUGAAGCUGAGAGGCUGGGGACCGGAGGCUUGUGGUGCCAGGAUGGACCGGAGACUGAGGCUGGAGACCAGGGGCCUGCAGCACCGGACCAGAGGACCAGGAAUCCAUGGCUGAAGAGGCUGAUGGAGUCGUGCUGAAGGCCCUGCCUGGUGGAGGAGCUGGUGGAGGCCCUGCCUGGUGAAGGACGUCUGUCGUGGGGUAGUUGGUGCUUGACUCGGAGCAAGACUUCCGCUGUUUGUUCCAGACCAGGACUCUGUCUGAGGAGAGCUGAUUUAGGAGCUGAGACGCUGGAGGAGGACUAGGAAUCGACCAACAGGAUUCCUCAUAAAACGUGUUUCGGGAGCGGAUGCGAGCCGGUAGGGGAGCCGUGAAUCUGGAGGAUUACCAUCACACUACUAACAUGGAUUACUUUAGGGCCAGACUCGCACUGUUUGUUCCAGACCAGGACUCUGGCUGAGGAGAGCUGAUGGAGGAGCCAAGACUCUGGAGGACGACAUCACUCUACCAACCAGGAUCCUCACCAGGAAUCUGGAGGACUGAUGGGGAAGCCGUACAUCUGGAAGGCAAAUCCUGAGGACAACCAGGACUCUACCAUCAAGGAUUCCUCCCAAGUUUGCAUUAUCUGGACAUAGUGGACUAGACACACCUGAGCUGAACCUCACCUGAUCCAGUUUGGUCGGGGGUAGACACACCUGAGCUGAACCCGCCCUGAUCCUGACAUCCUGCUGGUCCCGUCUCCUCAGUUCAUCUGCGCCGCGUCCUCCAGAAGACCUGCUGAGCUCAGUGGUCUGAGGCUGAGGGAUCAAUGACCUCCAGUGGGAGUGAUCUUCUUGACCCCACAUUUAACCGUGUGCUUCCACACGCCUUUCUCUCACGUCUGUCACUAACAUCACUACUUCACUACUCUCUACUGCUUCCUCUUCUUCCUUCUCUGUGGUUCGAACCUUUACACUGAAGGCGCGUCUUCCUGCCCUCAGAGGGUUCAGCGUUAGGGUUGAGAGUCAGGGUUUAGAGUCAGGGACAGAGCUGGUCAGGGAGGACUUCUUUUACACAAAGAACUUGCUUUCGGAAUGGUGGUGACAUUUUGAAAAUAUUAAUUUGGGAAAAUGUUUUCCUCUGCUUGCCUUUACAAAAUUGUAUUAAACUUUUGUCAAGUGUUUGUUUAUAUUAAAAUCC